rnacentral:rRNA from 1 species
UGGGGAAUAUUGCACAAUGGGGGAAACCCUGAUGCAGCGACGCCGCGUGGAGGAAGAAGGUCUUCGGAUUGUAAACUCCUGUUGUUGAGGAAGAUAAUGACGGUACUCAACAAGGAAGUGACGGCUAACUACGUGCCAGCAGCCGCGGUAAAACGUAGGUCACAAGCGUUGUCCGGAAUUACUGGGUGUAAAGGGAGCGCAGGCGGGAAGGCAAGUUGGAAGUGAAAUCCAUGGGCUCAACCCAUGAACUGCUUUCAAAACUGUUUUUCUUGAGUAGUGCAGAGGUAGGCGGAAUUCCCGGUGUAGCGGUGGAAUGCGUAGAUAUCGGGAGGAACACCAGUGGCGAAGGCGGCCUACUGGGCACCAACUGACGCUGAGGCUCGAAAGUGUGGGUAGCAAACAGGAUUAGAUACCCUGGUAGUCCACACUGUAAACGAUGAUUACUAGGUGUUGGAGGAUUGACCCCUUCAGUGCCGCAGUUAACACAAUAAGUAAUCCACCUGGGGAGUACGACCGCAAGGUUGAAACUCAAAGGAAUUGACGGGGGCCCGCACAAGCAGUGGAGUAUGUGGUUUAAUUCGACGCAACGCGAAGAACCUUACCAAGUCUUGACAUCCCUUGACGAUGCUGGAAACAGUAUUUCUCUUCGGAGCAAGGAGACAGGUGGUGCAUGGUUGUCGUCAGCUCGUGUCGUGAGAUGUUGGGUUAAGUCCCGCAACGAGCGCAACCCUUAUGGUCAGUUACUACGCAAGAGGACUCUGGCCAGACUGCCGUUGACAAAACGGAGGAAGGUGGGGAUGACGUCAAAUCAUCAUGCCCUUUAUGACUUGGGCUACACACGUACUACAAUGGUGGAAAACAGAGGGAAGCAAAGCCGCGAGGCAGAGCAAAACCCUAAAAGCCAUCUCAGUUCAGAUUGCAGGCUGCAACUCGCCUGCAUGAAGUCGGAAUUGCUAGUAAUCGCGGAUCAGCAUGCCGCGGUGAAUACGUUCCC